rnacentral:rRNA from 1 species
GUGAACGCUGGCGGUAGGCCUAACACAUGCAAGUCGCACGGCAGCACAGUAAGAGCUUGCUCUUACGGGUGGCGAGUGGCGGACGGGUGAGGAAUACAUCGGAAUCUACUUUUUCGUGGGGGAUAACGUAGGGAAACUUACGCUAAUACCGCAUACGACCUACGGGUGAAAGCAGGGGAUCUUCGGACCUUGCGGGAUUGAAUGAGCCGAUGUCGGAUUAGCUAGUUGGCGGGGUAAAGGCCCACCAAGGCGACGAUCCGUAGCUGGUCUGAGGGGAUGAUCAGCCACACUGGAACUGAGACACGGUCCAGACUCCUACGGGAGGCAGCAGUGGGGAAUAUUGGACAAUGGGCGCAAGCCUGAUCCAGCCAUACCGCGUGGGUGAAGAAGGCCUUCGGGUUGUAAAGCCCUUUUGUUGGGAAAGAAAAGCAGCAGGUUAAUACCCCGCUGUUCUGACGGUACCCAAAGAAUAAGCACCGGCUAACUUCGUG